rnacentral:rRNA from 1 species
AUGCAACAAAGAGUCACUCCAAAGCCACUAAUAGCGGAGAACAAACGAAGAGAUUAUGGUAGGUACUUCAAAGAGUGUCCCAAAGUUUCUACCGGAGAGUCAAGACGAAAAUGUGUGCCAACCCCUAUGCAUAGAUUCCCAAGGUCACGGAACCCGCAAGUUGAUCACCAAAACAUACAUCAAGUGGAUCACUUCUUUCAGAGAUUCAUCCUUUGGCACGAGACGAUUAUCUCCCCUCGGUGUUUUAUUCAAGACGGUGUAGCUCCUUCGUUUUGUUGUUGGUGGUCUAGUUUCGUAGGAGUCACCGUACUAUCAAGAGGGGAUCCGCUUUGGUAA